rnacentral:rRNA from 1 species
UACGGAAGGGGCAAGCGUUGUUCGGAAUCAUUGGGCGUAAAGGGCGCGUAGGUGGUUCUGUAUGUCUAUCGUGAAAGCAUACAGCUCAACUGUAUUUUGUCGGUAGAAACUGCAGGACUUGAGGCUGGGAGGGGCUGGUGGAAUUCCCUGUGUAGCGGUGAAAUGCGCAGAUAUCAGGAGGAACACCGGUGGCGAAGGCGGGUCUCUGGGCCGAUACUGACGCUGAGGAGCGAAAGCGUGGGGAGCGAACAGG